rnacentral:rRNA from 1 species
AUGGCCUCCGCGCUCAUCGCCGGCCGCCGCGCGCAGAGCCACCACUGGGGGGACAAUCGCGGCCCGCUCGCGCCCGCCCCGAGCCCUAACCCCGGCCACCGCGCCCUCCCGCCCGCCGACGGCUCGAGGGCGCAGCACCCGCUGGCCUCGCCGGGGGUUGGCUACGUCACGUUCCGGCCGUCGGGGCUCACGCACCGCGAGGCCGGCGCGCUCCGGGACCGCCUCGCCGGCGAGCUCGGCCAGGUCCGCGCCCUCCUCUCCCGCAUCGACGCGUGGCAGCAGGAGCUGGAGCUCGAGCAGCAGCGGCCGCAGCCGCCGCGGCGGGGCCAGGCGAGGGAGGACGGCCUCCCCGCGCCCCCGCCGAAGCUGCGGGCGGCGAUGCGGAAGCGGUGCGCGCAGAUCCUGUCCAAGCUGCGCAAGGACAAGCGGAGCAUCUGGUUCAACGCGCCCGUGGAGGUCGAGACCCUCGGCCUCCACGACUACCACGCCGUCAUCAAGAGCCCCAUGGACCUCGGCACCGUCAAGGCCAACCUCGCCGCCAGGAAGUACCCCUCGCACGACGCCUUCGCCACCGACGUCCGCCUCACCUUCUCCAACGCGCUGCGGUACAACCCGGCCGGCCACACCGUCCACACCUUCGCCGGCGACCUCCUCGCCUCGUUCGAGAAGAUGUACGCAGCGGCCGUCUCUUGGUUCGAGGAGGAAUGCAGGCGCCUUCCAUCACCGGUGCCGGUGCCGGUGCCGGUGCCAGUGCCAGUGCGAGCGGAACUUCCACCUCCGGUUGUCCCACUCCCAGCACAGGUCAAGCCGAGGGCGGUGAGGAUGCCGAAACCCAAGGCGAGGGAGCUGAACAAGAGGCAGAUGAGCUUGGAGGAGAAGAACAUGCUUAGGGCGGGGCUGGAGAGCUUGCCUGAAGAGAAGAUGCAUAAUGUGCUGCAGAUUGUGCGCAAGAGGAAUGUCAAUAACCCAGAGCUGCUUGGGGAUGAGAUUGAGCUGGAUAUCGACGAAAUGGACAUCGAGACGCAGUGGGAGCUUGAUCGAUUCGUCAACAACUUCAACAAGGCUCUCAAAAAGAGCCGACGAGCUGCAAUGAUAAAUGGGGACAUUGCUGAUGUCAAUAAUGCUGAUGGAGCUGGAGCUGUGAAUGGUGCUGUGCCUGUUUUGGUUGAUCAUGCUGAUGUGGAGAGUGAGAAUCCUGAGAACACUGUAGUGCCUGAGCAGGUGGAUGAGUAUGUAGAUAUUGAUGAUGAGAUGCCAACCGCAACUUACCAAUCAGUGGAGAUCGAGAAGGGCGCUGAGGCCACAAGUGUCUCUGGUGGUUCGGGAAGUGGUUCUUCAUCAUCCAGUGGUUCAGGGUCAGGGAGCUCAGGGGACAGCACCUCAGAAGCUGCCAAUGCUCGUCCUCUGGUGUAG